rnacentral:rRNA from 1 species
UAAGGCGCACGGCUCAGCAACACGUAGUCAACCUACCCUGGAGACGCGGACAAAUGCGGGAAACUGCGGCUAAUACGCGAUAGGCGAUGCCAUCUGGAAGGAGGCAUCUCCCAAAGGGUGGUGCGGGUAUGUUCCGCAUCAGCGCUCCAGGAUGGGACUGCGGCCGAUCAGGCUGUUGGCGGGGUAAUGGCCCACCAAACCUGUAACCGGUACGGGCUUUGAGAGAAGGAUUUCCGAGAUGGACACUGAGACAAGGGUCCAGACCCUACGGGGCGCAUCAGGCGCGGAAACUUCGCAAUGCGCGAAAGCGUGACGAGGCUAAUCCGAGUGCUGUCCGCUGAGGAUAGCUUUUCUUGGCUGUAAAUAGGCCGGGGAAUAAGGGGAGGGCAAGUCUGGUGUCAGCCGCCGCGGUAAUACCAGCUCCUCGAGUGGUCGGGACGAUUAUUGGGCCUAAAGCACCCGUAGCCGGUUCAGUAAGUCCUCUGUUAAAUCCAACCGCCCAACGGUUGAGCUGCAGAGGAUACUGCUGGACUAGGAGGCGGGAGAGGCGGACGGUACUCCGCGGGUAGGGGUAAAAUCCUUUGAUCCGCGGAAGACCACCAGUGGCGAAGGCGGUCCGCCAGAACGCGCUCGACGGUGAGGGGUGAAAGCUGGGGGAGCGAACCGGAUUAGAUACCCGGGUAGUCCCAGCCGUAAACGAUGCGAGCUAGAUGAUUCAAUCGCAGUUCGCGAUUGAAGUGUCGCAGGGAAGCCGUUAAGCUCGCCGCCUGGGGGCUGGCUGAACUUAAACGCA